rnacentral:lncRNA from 1 species
CCCAGUCCUGCACAGCCAUAGCACGUGGAAGGUGCUCACAAUGCUGAGUCGUAGCCUCCUCAGCCUUCGUGUUUCUGCUUCUGUGAGGUCAAGACAGCACAGGCAGUGCUGAGCAAGGGCCUUGGCCUCAGUCAGAAGGCCCCAGCAUGGAUUUUCUGCCCAACCCCUUUCUCACUGUAUAAUUCUGGGCAAGUGACCACUGAGACCCUGAAAGUGGGCACAAUGAGAGACCCAGCUCCCAGGGCCAUGGGGAGACCCUCAUGAGGAGCACAUGAAAAUGCUUGGCUCCCUGCCUGCCAUGGCCACCUUCUUGCCCAUCAGAGCCUCAAAGUGGAUGUGCAGGUAACUCUGGAUUCCCUUUGCUCAAGUCCUCGCUAGCUCGAGGACUUUCUUCCACUCUGUUCUUGAAGGUGGCUCAUGAGAGAGGUUGCAGGGCAGUCCACCAGCCUGUCCAGUGUCCAGCAGGGGCUCAGGAGACACACAGCAACUGCACCCCACCUUCCUGUCUGCUGGCUGGAGACGCCCUUCCCCUCCUCAUGAAGACAAUGGCUGGACAUCCUGUGGAGCUGGACCCUAAACCGGUGAGGGUACAACUGAGUGAAGCCAAGUUGCUGAGACGAAUGGGAUAAGCAUGUCAUUGCAUUAAACGGACAUUUCCCCCUGUGGCCUUUAAUAAUUUAUGCCUUAAAGAAGACAGGUAGAGGUCCAGCGAACUAGUUAAAAAUACCAGAUCUCACAGAUGAGAAGUAUGGUUCUUAUUAAAGUGUCUGCUUGCUACCUUGACAGUUUCUAAGAAGCAAAUAUUUCUACUGCUCCAGAUAUAAGCAAACAAAGUUACGUAGCCAGGGGAAAUCCACUUUGAAAAACAAAUGAAUCCAUGAGACUCCCCCUUGAUGACACAGCUCUCGGUGCAGAAUCGGAUGAUAAAGUGGAGUGCCUGCAGGAAAAAUGC